rnacentral:rRNA from 1 species
CCUACGGGAGGCAGCAGUGAGGAAUAUUGGUCAAUGGGCGCGAGCCUGAACCAGCCAAGUAGCGUGAAGGAUGACUGCCCUACGGGUUGUAAACUUCUUUUAUAAAGGAAUAAAGUGCGGCACGUGUGCCUUUUUGUAUGUACUUUAUGGAUAAGGCUCGGCUAACUCCGUGCCAGCAGCCGCGGUAAUACGGAGGUGCCGAGCGUUAUCCGGAUUUAUUGGGUUUAAAGGGAGCGUAGAUGGGUUGUUAAGUCAGGUGUGAAAGUUUGCGGCUCAACCGUGAAAUUGCAAUUGAUACUGGGAGUCUGGAGUGCAGGUGAGGUAGGCGGAAUUCGUGGUGUAGCGGUGAAAUGCUUAGAUAUCACGAAGUACUCCGAUUGCGAAGGCAGCUUACUAAACUGCAACUGACAUUGAUGCUCGAAAGUGUGGGGAUCAAACAGGAUUAGAUACCCGGGUAGUC